CUCACCUCUGCAACUCUACUUCUUAUGGUGGGAUUUGACUUGUCUCCAAUUCCUACCUCUCCAAUUCCUUGCUAAUUUCCUUUAAUCUAGUGACACCUGUUCUCCACAAGAUCCAACGGUUCCUUAUCUAUAACUUAAAACCGCUGAACUUUUUCAAGGUAUCUUGGCGUAGGGUAAAACUGUCGCUGCUGCUUCCAUCGUGUUCUGACUUUGGAUCACUGAAUCCUGUCUCCUCCCUCCUUGAGUCCUUGACUGAGCCGUUCGUUACUAAGGUACAUACUGUUUCUGCAUCACGCUGAAUCAAUAAUCCAUGAUCCAUCCUUCCUUCUCCCGUCAAUAUGUCUUCGUGAGGUUGAGAGACGAAGGAUUUGAAGAGGAGCCAAAAUCCUGAUGAAGGUGCAAUCGGGACAGGUCCGGAUUAUUUGUUGGCGGAAGUAUUGUUUGGGGAAAAAAGGUUGUUCCAUAGCCGUAGGACUAGAAUGGAACCCGUGUUGCAUCCAGAUGAGGAAUUGGUAAAGAAUUGAAGGAUGAAGAAUUGAAGACGAUAGAUCCAUAAGGGAUUUGAGCUCAAUGGAGGAACAAAUCAAUUAUGGCUUUUUCUCGUGCAAAUACUUUGGAUGAGACACUAUGCAGGUGGACUAUGAAUAUGAAUGUGGAUGAUUCUAGGAUGUUGGAAGAAACAAAUCUUCAGGUCCUUAGCCAGAUUUGCUGCAUGGAAUUAUGCCAUAACUUACUGAAGGAAGUUCCCAAGAAUUGGGACUGUAACCUGCACGUGUUCAAAUUUGGGUUAGUAGAAAUUUGUCUAACUCUGGAAGAAUUUAGAGCAUGCUUGCUCUCCCCACCCAAAGGGAAGCUUUUUCGUCCUACUUUGCAAGUAGACUACACCAAGGAUAUCCAAGAAUUCUUCGGAUGGAACAGAAAGGAAAUGAAGAAGUUCAUGGUUUUUCAGAAAAUAGACAUCUUUGAAGUAGCCAAAGCUUUUUCUCGAUAUAGACAUUUGGAGGGAAUGGAUCAGUGGCGUAGAGGUAAUUUCUAUCUAUUUUGUAUGAUAGCAUGAUACUUGUUGCGUUAUCCUGGAUGUGGAGCUGUUCUCGCCAUCAUUAAAAUAGUGUUACAACUUCGAGAAGGUUGCAACAUUGUUCCUACAAUCCUGGCUGAAAUACUUAAAGGGUUGGAUCAGAUGGUCAUUUCUGGGAAAUUUGGUACAAAUCACUACAUGGGGUGUCCCUCUGCUUUCCAACUUUAGUUGACUGAGAAGCUACAACUGUUAAGGCUUUUCCAACAUAAUAAGCUGACAGCCAUCUAGUACCAGACAAGGAGAGAAAUUCCAAAAUUUCACUUAAUUGCUAAUUGACAGGAGUACCUUCAAGAGAAAACUGAAGAUAAUAUCAGAUGGACUUGUCAGUGGUCGCCAAUUGAGAAUCCUAUUAUGAAUACCCCAGAGUACAAUUAUGUUAGGUUGAUAGGUUUGACUCACACGUCCUUUUAUCUACCUACUCAUCUACAGUGGCAAUAUCAGUUACCUCAAACAGAUCUAGGAGAAGUAUUGAACUAAUAUCCCCCGGAGAAGCUAUCCACUGGUGUCAUAGAUCUGCUGACAAAUUUAUGGCAAAGGCAGCUAGAGUAAGGUCUUUUAGAAGAAAAAAGUUCCAAACACUUAAGUGAAGACAGUUGAAGAUCUGGCUUUUUGAUUUAUUGUAUUUCCAUGUAACCGUUUUCCGUUUGUUGUAAAUGUGAGCUUGGAGUUGAAAUAAAUUUAGCCUUUUCUAUCUA